AACGAACGCUGGCGGCAGGCUUAACACAUGCAAGUCGAACGCAUGCCUUCGGGCAUGAGUGGCAGACGGGUGAGUAACGCGUGGGAACCUACCCCUUGGUACGGGAUAGCUCCGGGAAACUGGAGAUAAUACCGUAUGUGUCCUGAGGGACAAAGAUUCAUCGCCAAGGGAUGGGCCCGCGUCGGAUUAGCUAGUUGGUGGGGUGACGGCCUACCAAGGCGACGAUCCGUAGCUGGUCUAAGAGGAUGAUCAGCCACAUUGGGACUGAGACACGGCCCAAACUCCUACGGGAGGCAGCAGUGGGGAAUAUUGGACAAUGGGCGCAAGCCUGAUCCAGCCAUGCCGCGUGAGUGAUGAAGGCCCUAGGGUUGUAAAGCUCUUUCACCGGUGACGAUAAUGACGGUAACCGGAGAAGAAGCCCCGGCUAACUUCGUG
rnacentral:rRNA from 1 species